rfam:Saccharomyces arboricola H-6 mitochondrion, whole genome shotgun sequence.
UAUUAAAUAUAUAAUUAUAUUAUAUUUUUAAUAUAAUAAUAACUAAGUGAACUGAAACAUCUAAGUAACUUAAGGAGAGUAAAUCAACAGAGAUAUUAUAAGUAUUGGUGAGAGAAAAUAAUAUAGUCAAAAAUAAGUAUUAUGUAAUAAAUAUGUAAGAAAAUAGGAUAACAAAUUCUAAGACUAAAUACUAUUAAUAAGUAUAAAAAGUACCGUAAGGGAAAAUAUAAAAAUGGUUAUUUUAUAAGCAAUCAUCAAUAUAAUAAUUAUAUUAAUGAUGUACCUUUUGUAUAAUGGGUCAGCAAGUAAUUAAUAUUAGUAAAAUAUCAAAUAUUAUAAAUAAAUAGAUAAAAAUAAUAUAUAUAAAAAAUAUAUAAAAAAUAAAUUUAAAUAAUUAAUUAAUUAAUUUUUAUUUAUUAAAUUUAAUUAAUAUUAAUUGACCCGAAAGCAAACGAUCUAACUAUGAUAAGAUGGAUAAACGAUCGAACAGGUUGAUGUUGCAAUAUCAUCUGAUUAAUUGUGGUUAGUAGUGAAAGACAAAUCUGGUUUGCAGAUAGCUGGUUUUCUAUGAAAUAUAUGUAAGUAUAGCCUUUAUAAAUAAUAAUUAUUAUAUAAUAUAAUUUAUAUUAUAUUAAUAUAAAGAAUGGUACAGCAAUUAAUAUAUAUUGGGGAACUAUUAAAGUUUUAUUAAUAAUAUUAAAUCUCGAAAUGUUUAAUUAUAUAUAAUAAAGAGUCAGAUUAUGUGCGAUAAGGUAAAUAAUCAAAAGGGAAACAGCCCAGAUUAAGAUAUAAAGUUCCUAAUAAAUAAUAAGUGAAAAAAAUAUAAAAAUAUUAUAAUAUAAUCAGUUAAUGGGUUUGACAAUAACCAUUUUUUAAUGAACAUGUAACAAUGCACUGAUUUAUCAAAAAAGUAAUAUUUCAAAUCAUAUAUAUAUAUAUUAAAUAUAUAUAUAUAUGUUUAUAGAUAAUAUACGGAUCUUAAUAAAUAAGAAUUAUUUAACUGAAUAUCUAAAUAUUAUUAUUAAUAUUUAUAAUAAUAAUAAUAUGGUAAUAGAACAUUUAAUGAAAAAAGUAUAUUAGUUAUUAAUUAAUAUAUAUUUAAUAAUUAAAUAGAGAAUGCUGACAUGAGUAACGAAAAAAAGGUAUAAACCUUUUCACCUAAAACAUAAGGUUUAACUAUAAAAGUACGGCCCCUAAUUAAAUAAAAGAAUAAAAUUAUAUUUAAGAUGGGUUAAACUAUAUUAAUAAUAAUUAUCUUAAAAUAUAUAUAAAUAUUUAUUUAUUUAUUUAUAUAUAAUUAUAUUAUAUAAAUUAAUAAAGAUCAGGAAAAGAGUUAAUGUAUACCGUAAUGUAGACCGACUCAGGUAUGUUAGUAGAGAAUAUGAAGGUGAAUUAGAUAAUUAAAGGGAAGGAACUCGGCAAAAAUAGCUCAAAAGUUCGUCAAUAAAGAGUAAUAAGAACAAAGUUGUACAACUGUUUACUAAAAACACCGCACUUUGCAGAAACGAUAAGUUUAAGUAUAAGGUGUGAACUCUGCUCCAUGCUUAAUAUAUAAAUUAUAUUAUUUAACGAUAAUAUAAUUAAAUUUAGGUAAAUAGCAGCCUUAUUAUGAGGGUUAUAAUGUAGCGAAAUUCCUUGGCCUAUAAUUGAGGUCCCGCAUGAAUGACGUAAUGAUACAACAACUGUCUCCCCUUUAAACUAAGUGAAAUUGAAAUCGUAGUGAAGAUGCUAUGUACCUUCAGCAAGACGGAAAGACCCUAUGCAGCUUUACUGUAAUUAGAUAGAUCGAAUUAUUAUUAAUUAUAUUCAGCAUAUUAAGUAAUCCUUAUAAUUUUUAUAAAAUUAUAAAGUAAUCGUUUAUGAUAUUAAUGAGAUACUUAUUAUAAUUUUAUGAUAAUUCUAAUCUUAAAAAAAAAAUAUUUAAUAGAUAAAUAAUUCUUAAAUAAAUAUAUUUAUUAUAUAUAUAUAAAUAUUUAAUAUUUAUAUAUAUAUAUAUUUUAUAUAAAAUAAGAGACAAUCUCUAAUUGGUAGUUUUGAUGGGGCGUCAUUAUCAGCAAAAGUAUCUGAAUAAGUCCAUAAAUAAAUAUAUAAAAUUAUUGUAUAAUAAUUAAAUAAUAUAUAUUAUAUAUAUUAAUUAUAAAUUGAAAUAUAUUUUUAUAUAAUAAUUUAUUAUUAUUAAGAAUAUAUUUUAGUAAUAGAUAAAAAUAUGUACAGUAAAAUUGUAAGGAAAACAAUAAAAAAGUUCUUUAAAUAUUAUAUUUAAUUGUUUAAAUAAAUAUAUAUAUUAUAUAGGAAUAUAUUAAAUAAUAUAAUGGUAUAACUGUGCGAUAAUUGUGAUACAAACAAGUAAAACAAGUACGUAAGUAUGGCAUAAUGAACAAAUAACACUGAUUGUAAAGGUUAUUGAUAACGAAUAAAAGUUACGCUAGGGAUAACAGGGUAAUAUAACGAAAGAGUAGAUAUUGUAAGUUAUGUUUGCCACCUCGAUGUCGACUCAACAUAUCCUCUUGGUUGUAAAAGCUAAGAAGGGUUUGACUGUUCGUCAAUUAAAAUGUUACGUGAGUUGGGUUAAAUACGAUGUGAAUCAGUAUGGUUCCUAUCUGCUGAAGGAAAUAUUAUCAAUUUAAAUCU